rnacentral:rRNA from 1 species
UUUUAAAAAUAUAUCAUCCCAAACUCAGGAGCUAUAAAAGAAUGACACAUCUCAGAAGCUAAGCAGGGUCAGGCAUGGUUAGUACUUGGAUGGGAGACCGCCUGGGAAUACCAGGUGCUGUAGGCU